rnacentral:lncRNA from 1 species
GCUGUUAGCGGAUGAACGUCUUCCGGUGUGGCGGGAGGAGAAGAUCCGCGUGGGAGAAGAGUCCAGCAGAGAGGUGACUGUGUUCCUGCUGCGUGUGGAUGAUCUGCUCCUCUGUCAAUCAUGUGAACAUCUGCAGGAUCACACACACACACACACACACACACACACACACAAAAAUGAAAUGCAACAUCUAAAAAAAACUGGUUUAAGCAGAAUAAUGCAUGCGGGAUGGUGGAUUAUUAGAGAAUAAUAUACACCUGAGGGGUAACGGCAUCACCAUUUCAGCUGUGUAUCAUUUUUCUAAUAAAUCAUCAGCCCGUUGUCUAUUUCUUGUGUAAUUUAUCAAUAAUGGUUCAAAGAAAUGUACAGAAAAUAUCAAAUAACCCUGCAAUUAUGUCCAUCUUCAUACAUAAUAAUGGAUAAAUUAAUCACGGUGAAUUAAAGCUCAUAUUCUGAGCUGCACUUAUUAAAAUACGUCUCACAAUAAUGGCUCAUUUCCACUGAGUGGUGCAGUUUGGUGCGCUUUUAUGGCCGUUUCCACUGUCAAAAGGCGUACCGAACCACUAUUUUGGCACCCUUUUGAAGAGUGACUCAAGAAAGGGUACCAAAAGGCGGAGCCAGACGCACAGCUGAAUGCUAUUGGUUUACAGAGAUACGUCAUCCGCUUAUGCAACAAGCCAGAAUGAAAACAAAAGCCCGCCAUGUUUAAAACACACAGCCGAGAGAUCUUUUACUGUGUAAAUAUAUAUAUAUACAUAUAAUAACAAGCCAUGGUCGACCAGGCUCAAUCAAACCUUGUCAUCUUGAUGAACAGCCACAAAGCCAAGAAGAAGUCUGCAGUUAUAAUCAUGUUCAGAGAAACGUCAGUAAUAAACAUUUAUACACGAGUGUGUGUGUGUAUAAAGCAUCUGUGUUGUGAGAAGUGCUGCUCAUAUGAUAUGUGAGCGACGCGUACAGCUUUACUGUAGACAUUUAUUCGAGCGAGCAUGACGUCGACUGAAACUUUGUCAUUCACCUCGCCCACCUAAAGGUAACGUUGGUGAUGGAAACGCAAGCCUGAUAAAGGUGACCCGUACCGACCCGAACCAUACUGUACCACUCAGUGGAAACCAGACAGUAUUGACCAUAAAUGUGAUUCUGUUAGAAAUUGUAAAGAUCUUAUGUGUUUUUGAAGGACAGUGCUGAAGAAUAAAGAUUUCUGCUCUCAAUAAUAAGUGUAUUGGUCAAACUAUGAUGAUGAAUCUGUUUUAUUAUGGACUGGACAGUUUGUGAUGCUCAAUAAAGCUUCUGAUGUGCUG